ACCAGGUAUGGUGGUGCAUGCCUGUAAUCCCAGAAACUUGGGAGGCUGAGACAGGAGGAUCACAAGUUCGAGGCCAGCUUGGGCAAUUUAGCAAGAUCCUAUCUCAG
rnacentral:sRNA from 1 species